AACGGCCGUACCAUGCUGAAUAUACCGGUUCUCGUUAGAUCACCGAAGUCAAGCAUCAUUGGGCGCGGUCAGUACUUGGGUGGGUGACCAC